CAACCCUCAAGCUCUGCUUGGUAUUGGGUUCCACCCUCUGUGGUGCACCUCAAAAUCAGUGGCGGUGCCACCUGGCUCCUAGCGUAGUAAAACUUUCUCGCUAUAGAGUUUGGGUGUUUGCUUGCCAGCAACCAAUAUUUUUUAUA
rnacentral:misc_RNA from 1 species